rnacentral:lncRNA from 1 species
UCGAGACCAGCCUGGCCAACAUGGUGAAACCCCAUCUCUACUAAAAAUACAAAAUUAGCCAGGUGUGGUGGCGCAUGCCUGUAAUCCCAGCUACUUGGGAGGCUGAGGCAGGAGAAUCGCUUGAACCCGGGAGGCGGAGGGUGUGGUGAGCCGAGAUGGCGCCACUGCACUCAAGCCUGGGCAACAAGAACAAAAAUCCAUCUCACAAAAAAAAAAAAGUAAAAAAAGAAUCUGAAACUUAAGCUCAAUUUUGUGAACAUUAAAUUGUUAAGCUUUUAAAUUUUUUACAUGCCUAUAAAAGCAUGAUUUUUUAAUUCUAAGUGAAACAAUAACUUAUCAAAACUUGAACAAGUUUUUUGCCUGGUUAAAAUACAAGAUACUAGAGUUCAAGACUGUAUACACACUCCAGCAUGGGUAACAGAGUGAGACCCUGUCUCCCAAAAAAAGAGAAUGUUGCCAGGCAAGGCAGUUGACGCCUGUAAUCCCAACACUUUGGGAACUCAAAGCAGGUGGAUCACUUGAGACCAGUGAGGCAGGAAAAUAGGGUCUGGAGGCAGGGAACAUAAGGCCGAUUCACACUUCAGUUAUGACAGGAAAUAGCCUCCCCAUAGGGUGCAGGCCAAGUAAACACUUUGUAACUUUACUUCAUCCUCUCCAUCUACAUACGGCAUACCCCAAGGAACCAAUGGAAUCCUCUAGAGGGUAUUUAAACUCUCAAAUAUUCUGUAACAGGGCCUUUGAGCCCCUAUGCUCAAGCCUACUCCUAAAUUGUGGAGUGUACUUUCAUUUUCAAUAAAACCCUUCAUUCCUUCCUUGCUUUGUUUAUGCAUUUUGACCAAUUCUUUGUUCAUAACGCCAAGAACCUGGACACCCUCCACAGUUAACAUAUUUUGGCAAGCCAGCCAGGAAGAAGAGGUAAACCUAAAGUUUGGGAUUUUUUUUUCUCCUUUCUCCUUUUCUUUUCUGCUCCAUACAGGGGACUCUCUCUCUCUCUCCUCUCUCUCUUUUCCUUUCCCACCCAGGACCCAUGUGGGUAGCACCUAAACAUGGAAGCAACUGCAGGUUUCUGGCCAUGGCCAGUGAAACUAAGGGGUUUCCAUGUGGAGAAGCCUAACCACCACCGCCCAGUUCGCUUAAACCUGGGUCUUUUUCCAUUUUUUUUUUUCCUUUCUUUCUUUUUCAGUCUUUCAGCGGCUGUUUUUUUGUUUUUUGUUUUUGGAGACAGUCUUACUCUGUCACCCAGGCUGGAGUGCAGUGGCACAAUCUCAGCUCACUGCAACCUCCGCCUCCCGGGUUCAAGAGAUUCUGGUGCCUCAGCCACCAAAGUAGCUGGCGUACACUACUACACCCGGCUAAUAUUUGCAUUUUUAGUACAGACUGAGUUUCACCAUGUUUUCUAGGCUGGUCUCACAUUCCUGGACUCCAGCUAUCUGCCCACCGCGGCCUCCCAGAGUGCUGGGAUUACAGGUGUGAGCUACCGCGCCAGGCCUAAGAUCGACUUUCUUUUUAUUUUUUUUUUUGAGAUGGAGUCUUGCUCUGUGGCCCAGGCUGGAGUGCAGUGGCACGAUCUCGGCUCACUGCAACCUUUGCCUCCUGGGUUCAAGCGAUUCUCCUGCCUCAGCCUCCCGAGUAGCUGGGACUACAGUCGUGCGCCACCACACUCAGCUAAUUUUUUUUUUUUUUUUUUUUUUUUGGUAGAGAUGGGGUUUCACCAUGUUGGCCAGACUGGUGAACCGCCACCGCGCCCGGCCAAGAUUGACUUUCAAUUUACAACAGCUUUUAACUAACUUCUAGCUAUUUGACUUGGGAAGUCAAGAAGCAAAUAAUUUCUAAACAUCCAUUCAGAUGCUCAAGGAUGCCCCUGGAAAGUACAGUGAUAGUACGUUAUCAAUUUCCCCUGAAAUUACAACUUUUUUUUUUUUUUUUUUGAGACGGAGUCUCACUCUGUCACUGAGGCUAGAGUGCAGUGGCGUGAUCUCGGCUCACUGCAACCUCCGCCUCCCGGGUUCAAGCGAUUCUCCUGCCUCAGCCUCCCGACUAGUGGGAUUUCAGGCGUCCACCACCACACUCGGCCCACAACUUCAAAUUUUUAAAAAUGCAUUAUAUAGCAGGAAAUGUAAACUAAUGCAUCUAUCCUCUUUAAGAAAUUAAUCUGGGCCAGGCGCGGUGGCUCACACCUGUAAUCCCAGCACUUUUGGGAGGCCAAGGCAGGCGGAUCACUUGAGGUCAGGAGUUUGAGACCAGACUGGCCAACAUGGUAAAACCACCCCACCCCCACCCCACCCCCAACUCCGCCUCUAUUAAAAAUACAAAAAUUAGCUGGGCGUGGUGGUGGGCACCUGUAAUCCCAGCUACCUCAGAAGGCUGAGGCAGGAGAAUCGCUUGAAUCCGGGAUGCAAAGUUGCAGUGAGCCAAGAUUGCACCACCACACUCCAGCCUCGGCAACAGAGCGAGACACCGUCUCAAAAAAAAAAAAAGAAAAAGAAAAAGAAGAAAAUUAAUCUGGCCAGGCGUGGUAGCUCAUGCCUGUAAUCCCAGCAUUUUGGGAGGCUGCAGUGGGCAGAUCACUUGAGGUCAGGAGUUCGAGACCAGCCUGGCCAACAUGGCGAAACCCCAUCUCUACUAAAAAUACAAAAAUUAGCCAGGCGUGGUGGCAGGCACCUGUAAUCCCGGCUAUUCUGGAGGCUGAGGCAGGAGAAUCGCUUGAACCUGGGAGGCGGAGGUUGCAGUGAGCCAAGAUGGCGACAUUACACUCCAGCCGGGCAACAAGAACAAAACACUGUCUCACACACACACACACAAAGAAAAGAAAUCAAUCUGAAGUCUUCCUCUGUUCAGGACUUCUAACUCAGAGACAAAUUUUCAGACAGGCAGAGGCAAAUUUCUCUAAAUUUUAGGUUUCUAGGAUUGAUGAUUAAGUUGAAUGUAAUGUUUAAGCUGUAGAAAGUAUGCCUCUUUCCAAAAGCCUGUAGCUGGCCACAGAUUAGUUCUGGGUGAAGCUUACUAAUCAUUAAUGGAUUUAUGAAAUUCAAACUACUUCAGAGUAAGCCUCCUGACAAGUAGGGAAAAAAAUCCAGUUUUCUCAUUCAGUUCUUUCCACCAAGCUAAAAUGAGGAUUCAAUCUCAAAUUGAUGUUCCAAACUAUCAGAUAGUUUUAAAUGAUUCUAGAAGUUGAAGUGGAAAAAUAUAAAUACAACAGCUGAUAGUAAUUCAAGACUGGCUUAUGUCAAACAAUUGCAUUUCUAACCUGAGUUAAUUCAAUAACGUGAAAUUUGAAAUAAGAUUUUUUUAUCUUAAGUUUAAAAUCAUAAGGUUCUAUAAUAUUGGAUGUCAGUUGGUUGCAGUUCUCACCUAUUUGAAAAAAAAAUUGAAACUACUUGUCGCUAAACCAUGGUAACUCAAAAACAUUAAAGGCAAAUAUCUACUAAGGCACUAUAUUUCAUUUCAUAAUUUAUUUCUCCAUCCCCCAAAAAAGGCAUCACCUAGUUAUUUAUAGGACACUAUCACUAUUGCAACAUAACAGAAAAAUCUUAACAUCAUUGAUAACUGUAGCAUUUUAGUGUGUAAAAUCUAUAUUAGAUUUUAGGUGUCAAAUCUAUACUAGAUUCUAAUAGUGCACUCUACAUUCAACCUCUGAUUUAAAGAGUUUCAUUUUAACCCAGCAUUGUUUAAAUUAAUUUUAGGAUGUGUUAUGUCAGUCAAGAUAUACUUGCUUCUACUGAGAGACUUCUAUUAAAUAUGCAUUCAAGUAUAUAUUUUACAAGGCAUGACCUUGCGAGCCCUAAAGAGUGAGACUAAACUGCAGCUACAAAUAAAUGGUGCAGGAAAUCAAAGCAAACUAUAUUCAGAGUCUAAAUCCAAAAUAUGCAUUCUGGUUCUUAAAUUCCAGGUUUGGAAAGAAAUGCCAACAGUAAUAAAUAAAUAAACUGCUUUGAAAGCAUCUCAAAUUCCUCAAAAGUGCUUAAACAAAAGACUCAGCUUUGAGUACAACCUUAAGCUAUCUCAAAACAAAUAAACACACUUGAUAAGGCUUAGAAUGAAAUUACCUCAGUCACUCACUGGAAUGCAACAAUGCAUUCGCAAAGUUAUUCUGAAGUAAGCUACUCCAACUAAACCACACUGAAAAGGAGAGAACGUGGAUAAACUAAACAUGUUUUGUGAAAUACCUGUUUUGUAUUGGCCUGAGUUUUUUAAAAGUUACAUCUCAUUCAUUAUCAGUAUUUAAUCUGCAAGAAUAUCAUCAAAGGAUGUCAAUAUGGACAAGCAGAGACAAGAAACAUCAGACUUUCAGGGAGCCUAUCUUCACAACCCUGAGUUAUUAACUGAAGUUCUCAAAGUUAGAUGAGUUAAGAUACAGACAACGUGCUUUGCACAAAUGCUUUGCUUAUAGUAACCACUCAAUAGUCAUUAACAAGAAUUUAUUAACUAUCCACCAAAACACAGUUUCAAACCCUACCGACAACUAACCACAAAUUGCACCACUUUUCGGGCCGACUUCUACGGACGGUGCACAGAAGCAAUAAAUACACUUUUAAAACUCCCCAACUUGAAGACCAAAAAGAUACAAUAACUUAAACUGCUUUCAAAAACUACUGGAGUGUCAUGCCUACAAAUUCAGAACCUGGCUUAAAAGCUAGUUAACUGACUAGAAUUCUUGGUAGACCCAAAGCCAACUAAAUCAGGAACACUUAAAGGUCAAAGGCGUCCAAGCCGGGAGCGAUGUGCUCCACUGUUACAUGAUCCCCGCCUCCUACAGGAACAGGGGACUGAACCAAAGGCAGUUGCGGCCGAAGUGCAGGCGACACACAGGGUUACACAUCACCUUCGGAGAUUUCCUCCAGGAAUCAAGACGCUUCCCCCUUGGGUCCAGCGACUCACAGGUGACCCCGGAUCUCAAGAGUUCUCGU